AAACUUUGUCGCCCGACACAAAUAGGGAACCGUACUUAAAAACACUGCUGAACGCAACUUUGUUGAGAAUGGUGACAUUUGGAGUCAAAAUAAAAAAUACAUAUUUAAUUGCUACCCGUAGCCCUCUCGACAUCGAUUAACAUUGCUAGCAAAAUUUAUAUAUAGCUGAGUGUUACGGAAGAUGAAAUUGGAAACUGCGAUUACGAUUCGAUAACUUAUAACAGUCAGUCUCUAAAACGUUAGUUUAGAAAAGGAAGCAUCGUAAAGUUCUUACAACACCGGAAAUUUAGGGAUUAUAGUAAUAAAUUAAUAAAGAACCAAAAGUUUAUAUGAAGUCAAAGAGAAUAUCAAUAGAAAAAGUCUUAUGGCACGUUUCAAUGAAUAUACCUACGGAGAUCCAACCUAAGGAGGAUUGACAUCAAGCAUACGGCUGAUUGUAAAAAUAAAUAGCAUUUACGAGGGCAUGCUGCGCCGACCCCACAUAAUGUAAGCAUCGUAACCGCUUCUUCCGAUAUACUUUUCAGUCUCAUUUUAUAAGAUCUUAACUUUUUAUUGUAAAUAAACAUUAAAUUUAUUAAAUACAUACAAAUAAACUGCGUUCAAUGAAAAAUGAAAUGGAGCGAAAUGAAAUAAAGUCGAUUGGUCUGAAAUUGAAUGUAAUGAAAAGAAUGAGAUGAAAUGAAAUACUUAGUCAUAAAAUAAUAAAAUGUAAAAUAAAAUAAAAUGACAGGAAAUGACUUGGACUUUUCAGAAGAUUAUGAGAAGCAACAAUCAGCGAUAUUUAUAUAUUUUUUCGAUACAUAUUCACUUACAAGUUAGCUAAAUGGCAACCACUAUUACACGUUUAAGCAAGAAGAAAUACUACAUACCUAAUUAAACAAAACUUGCAUUCCUGCUAAAAAAAAUAUUGAGAUUGUAAUCGCCACUCUCGAGUACUUCUGAGUAAAUAUGUUUCAAUACA